UGGUAAUGCCGGAUGCUCCAUCACACUGCAUGGUGUGUUGGGAAAGCCUUUGCGGCAUGGGAUGGGGUCGCGUCCUAUCAGCUUGAUGGCGGGGUAACGGCCCACCAUGGCUUCGACGGGUAGCCGGCCUGAGAGGGCGACCGGCCACAUUGGGACUGAGAUACGGCCCAGACUCCUACGGGAGGCAGCAGUGGGGAAUAUUGCACAAUGGGCGCAAGCCUGAUGCAGCGACGCCGCGUGAGGGAUGGAGGCCUUCGGGUUGUAAACCUCUUUUGUUAGGGAGCAAGGCAUUUUGUGUUGAGUGUACCUUUCGAAUAAGCACCGGCUAACUACGUGCCAGCAGCCGCGGUAAUACGUAGGGUGCAAGCGUUAUCCGGAAUUAUUGGGCGUAAAGGGCUCGUAGGCGGUUCGUCGCGUCCGGUGUGAAAGUCCAUCGCUUAACGGUGGAUCCGCGCCGGGUACGGGCGGGCUUGAGUGCGGUAGGGGAGACUGGAAUUCCCGGUGUAACGGUGGAAUGUGUAGAUAUCGGAAAAGAACACCA
rnacentral:rRNA from 1 species